CACCGCGGUAAUUCCAGCUCCAAUAGCGUAUAUUAAAGUUGCUGCAGUUAAAAAGCUCGUAGUUGAAUUUCGGGACUAAUAUGUCGGUCGUGCCUCGGUACGUACUGGUUUAUUGGUUUCUCCUUUCUGAAGAACCAUGAUGUCAUUUAUUUGGUGUCGUGGGGAAUCAGGACUGUUACUUUGAAAAAAUUAGAGUGUUUAAAGCAGGCUCACGCUUGAAUACAUUAGCAUGGAAUAAUGAAAUAGGACGUUUGAUUCUAUUUUGUUGGUUUCUAGGAUCGACGUAAUGAUUAAUAGGGAUAGUUGGGGGCAUUAGUAUUCAAUUGUCAGAGGUGAAAUUCUUGGAUUUAUUGAAGACUAACUACUGCGAAAGCAUUUGCCAAGGAUGUUUUCAUUAAUCAAGAACGAAAGUUAGGGGAUCGAAGACGAUCAGAUACCGUCGUAGUCUUAACCAUAAACUAUGCCGACUAGGGAUCGGAUGAUGUUAAUUUUUUAAUGACUCAUUCGGCGCCUUACG
rnacentral:misc_RNA from 1 species